GACGUAGGGGGCCAGCGUUGUUCGGAAUUACUGGGUGUAAAGGGUUCGUAGGCGGUGUGGCAAGUCGGGAGUGAAAUCUCUGGGCUCAACCCAGAGACUGCUUCCGAUACUGCCGUGCUUGAGGACUGGAGAGGAGACUGGAAUUUACGGUGUAGCGGUGAAAUGCGUAGAUAUCGUAAGGAAGACCAGUGGCGAAGGCGGGUCUCUGGACAGUUCCUGACACUGAGGCACGAAGGCCAGGGGAGCAAACGGG
rnacentral:rRNA from 1 species